AUCUACGGCCAUACCACCCUGAACAUGCCUGAUCUCGUCUGAUUUUGGAGGCUAAGCGGGGUCGGGCCUGGUGGGAGAAAUCUCCAUACUAUUUUUCAUAGAAAUUGCACUAGUUU
rnacentral:rRNA from 1 species